UCUGUGAUGGCCCAGUGGUAGGGCGUCAUGCUGUGUGCAUACACGUUCCUCGAGGACAGUUUGCGUCAGCUAUAUGAAGGUCCUGGUUCGAAUCCAGGUCACGGUA